rnacentral:lncRNA from 1 species
GACAAUGACCAGUCACUGCCAAAGACCUCAAAGUCAUGGUACAACAAUGGGCAGAUGAAGAAGAUAAAGAGCGUGAAUGAUUCGGCUCUCAUCGCAACCGCGGGCGCGACAAUAACAGUCACGAACAAGACAAGAACUGAAAUACAGAUACUCGAAAUAACUACUCAAGUAAACAAACCCGCAAACGCAAACCUGACAACACCGUUGCUUCCAUGACCAACUCAGGAAAGAAAGGAUCCCGCAAACAUGAUGAAGGACCAACCUUCACCGAAUUACUCAAGAAACAAUGCCCAUGGCACCCAAACAACAAACAUUCAGUGAUAGAUUGCUACAACAUGUGCCGAGUAAUGCAAGAUUUACCC